GCUUAUACUCGACCGUCAGCGGCACGUGCGAUCGCGCGUUUCGGCGCGCGGUCACCAAGCCCUGACGAGUAGGAGGGUCGCGGCGGUGAGCGCAGAAGGGCUGGCCGCGAGGCCGUCUGGAGCCGCCGUCGGUGCAGAUCUUGGUGGUAGUAGCAAAUACUCCAGCGAGGCCCUGGAGGACUGACGUGGAGAAGGGUUUCGUGUGAACAGCCGUUGCACACGAGUCAGUCGAUCCUAAGCCCUAGGCGAAAGCCGAUGUCGAUGCGGUGUGGAUUUAUAUCUUUUUUACUACGACGACGAAGAGCGARACAAAUGUUAAUUCGUUUCUUUAACGACGUAUAACGAUUCGAUCGAACACACCCAUCGGGCGAAAGGGAAUCCGGUUCCUAUUCCGGAACCUGGCAGCGGAACCGUCAAAAAGUCGGGC
rnacentral:rRNA from 1 species